GUGCCAGCCGCCGCGGUAAUACGGAGGGUGCAAGCGUUAUCCGGAUUCAUUGGGUUUAAAGGGUCCGCAGGCGGGGCCGUAAGUCAGGGGUGAAAGCCUGCAGCUUAACUGUAGAAUUGCCUCUGAUACUGCGGUUCUUGAGUUCGGUCGGCGUGGGUGGAAUGUACGGUGUAGCGGUGAAAUGCUUAGAUAUCGUACAGAACACCGAUCGCGAAGGCAGCUCACGAGGCCGAUACUGACGCUCAGGGACGAAAGCGUGGGGAGCAAACAGGAUUAGAUACCCGGGUAGUCCACGCCCUAAACGAUGAUCACUCGCUGUCGGCGAUAUACUGUCGGUGGCUAAGCGAAAGCAUUAAGUGAUCCACCUGGGGAGUACGCUCGCAAGGGUGAAACUCAAAGGAAUUGACGGGG
rnacentral:rRNA from 1 species